rnacentral:rRNA from 1 species
AUUGAACGCUGGCGGAAUGCUUUACACAUGCAAGUCGAACGGCAGCACGGACUUCGGUCUGGUGGCGAGUGGCGAACGGGUGAGUAAUGUAUCGGAACGUGCCCAGUCGUGGGGGAUAACGUAGUGAAAAUUACGCUAAUACCGCAUACGAUCUAUGGAUGAAAAGCGGGGGAUCGCAAGACCUCGCGCGAUUGGAGCGGCCGAUAUCAGAUUAGGUAGUUGGUGGGGUAAAGGCCCACCAAGCCAACGAUCUGUAGCUGGUCUGAGAGGACGACCAGCCACACUGGAACUGAGACACGGUCCAGACUCCUACGGGAGGCAGCAGUGGGGAAUUUUGGACAACGGGCGAAAGCCUGAUCCAGCCAUUCCGCGUGCAGGAUGAAGGCCCUCGGGUUGUAAACUGCUUUUGUACAGAACGAAAAGGUUUCUACUAAUACUAGGAGCUCAUGACGGUACUGUAAGAAUAAGCACCGGCUAACUACGUGCCAGCAGCCGCAGUAA